UGGGGCGUCGCCAAGUCGGUAAGGCACUAGACUUUGACUCUAGCAUUCGCAGGUUCGAGUCCUGCCGCCCCAG
rnacentral:tRNA from 1 species